rnacentral:ncRNA from 1 species
CGCCGGAAGCAGUGCACUGAUCCGCACGGUCCUCACCGACGCCGUCCCCCACAGCUCGACCCAGGGGCAGCGCACGGAGACAGGACGGUCGCCAGACCGUGCGGGGAGCAAGUGGCGAGACCGAUGCGUCCGGUA